AAACUGAUAACGUUUGGCCACCGAUCGUCAAGCAGAAAAACUCAGAAACCUUACUUUCUCUCUCUAUUUCUCUCUCCUCUUUUUUUCUCUGCAUGCCGUUGCACGCACGCUGCAAUCAGAUCUACUGUCCUCACCUUCUCUCUCCUCUUUUUAAUUUCUUUGAUUUGUUGAUUUGGGCUCAAUAGGCCCAAUUGUCCAAGC
rnacentral:lncRNA from 1 species